GACUCUCGGUAAUGGAUAUCUCAGCUCUUGCAUCGAUGAAGAAUAUAGCGUAAUGUGAUACUUGGUGUGAAUUGCAGAAUCUCAUGAACCAUCGAGUCUUUGAACGUAAGUUACGCCCGAAGCCAUUAGGCCGAGUGCACGUUGGCCUGGGCGUCA